rnacentral:rRNA from 1 species
UACAGAGGGGGCAAGCGUUGUUCGGAAUUACUGGGCGUAAAGGGCGCGUAGGCGGCCUGUUAAGUCGAACGUGAAAUCCCCGGGCUCAACCCGGGAACUGCGUCCGAUACUGGCAGGCUUGAAUCCGGGAGAGGGAUGCGGAAUUCCAGGUGUAGCGGUGAAAUGCGUAGAUAUCUGGAGGAACACCGGUGGCGAAGGCGGCAUCCUGGACCGAGAUUGACGCUGAGGCGCGAAAGCCAGGGGAGCAAACGGG